AACGAACGCUGGCGGCAGGCUUAACACAUGCAAGUCGAACGCCCCGCAAGGGGAGUGGCAGACGGGUGAGUAACGCGUGGGAACGUGCCCUUCGCUUCGGAAUAGCCCCGGGAAACUGGGAGUAAUGCCGGAUACGCCGUAUUGGGAAAGAUUUAUCGGCGAAGGAUCGGCCCGCGUUGGAUUAGCUAGUUGGCGGUGUAAUGGACCACCAAGGCGACGAUCCAUAGCUGGUCUGAGAGGAUGAUCAGCCACACUGGGACUGAGACACGGCCCAGACUCCUACGGGAGGCAGCAGUGGGGAAUCUUGGACAAUGGGCGCAAGCCUGAUCCAGCCAUGCCGCGUGAGUGAAGAAGGCCUUAGGGUUGUAAAACUCUUUCGCCGGAGAAGAUAAUGACGGUAUCCGGAGAAGAAGCCCCGGCUAACUUCGUGCCAGCCGCCGCGGUAACAC
rnacentral:rRNA from 1 species